GGAACAAUUUGCAGGGAGUCCCCAGACAACCUCACAUCACGUCUAGGUUGGGAGUGAUCAGGGGUAGUUCAACUCCCGCAUUUCCACACGAGGAAACGCCCGCAGAGCGCUGGCGCCCACCCUUAGGUGCCACUUCUGUCUCCCUCUGCUGAGUCCUCCGGCCACCCCAUGUCAUCAAUCCGCAUCACUGACAGUCUGAAAGCGAAUGCGUACUGAGCACUUACUGGCCUCAGUGCCUGGUGAUGACUGUUUUCAUUCAGCCCUUACACGCCUAGGAGGGAUUUCAAAGACAAUUCAACUAAGGCACAGAGAAGUGCAGGGACUUGUCCAGGGUCACACAGCUAGGGUGCAGUGAACAGGAUCCACACUGGGUCUGUCUGACCCUAGGGCCUGCCCUGUAGACUAACCCAGGUACCCACUGUGUCCUGGACAGUCCCCAACUCUCUCAUUCCCCGCCUUGCCCUUCAGAUUCUCCCCUGACCUAGAAAGCCAUGGAUCCCCCAUUGGAGUCGUGGCUGAGCAGCUCUGGGCUCUGAUCCUUUCUGGGAGUGUCACAUGUAAGCAAAACGGCCCAGAGAGGGUACCUCACAUCCCGCGGGGGCGGGGUUAGGGGGCAGUCCCCUUCCAAGAGGCCAGGGAAGGCCUCUUUGCCCCACUGGGGACAGCCAGUGAGGAAGGGUGCUUCUCUGCCCACAGACGAGCAGGGGCUACUGGCAGCUCUGCUGGCAGCCGCUGGCAGGGAAGCAGCACAAGGGGCCGCCUCUUGAGGAUGGAGGAGAGUCGGCUCAGAGUGCAGGUCGUGUGGGGCUGAGGGCGGAAUUCCCCAGAAGCUGCGUCCAAAAUGCUCCCGAGCCUUUCAGCUCUCCGGGGAAUUCUGCUGGCACAGGGCUUGGUGCAAAACAAAGGCCAGUCUGUGCUCUGCAUUCCGAAUGGAAAUGUCGACUCUCCUCUCCUCUCAGGCCCGCCCGUCAGAUGCCACAGAAGUCGAACUGGUGGCCCUAGGGCAGCUGGAGCCUGAGAGAGCAGGCAAAGGGUCCAGGCAGGGAUCACUGCACGUCAAGCCGUGGAUGGCUCCCGCUCUGAACCGCCAUGUCACUGUCCUGAACGUGAGACUGCCCAGCCUCUCAAGCUCAUGGUCCCCAGAGCAGAGGCACUGGGUUUCCUCCCUGCUCAGAGACGGCUUGGCAGCUGCAGCGCCUCCUGCAGGCGUUCUCUGAGGCUGGGGACACUGUGGGCAGACAGCGCAGUGGGCAGUUUGGUGGGCUUGGGAGUCAGAUCCUGGGUUCCGUUCCUGGCUUUGCCACUCCCUGGUUGUGUGGUCCUGGGCAUGCUAUUUAGUAUCUUGCUAAACCUCAAUUUCCUCGUCUGUGAAACAGGGAAAAUAUUAGCACCUAACUCCCAGGACUGUGUUAGGGUUUAACAAGAUAAGAACUUAAUCUCAGGGCAAGCACUGGGCCCAGGGCCUGGCGAACAGUCACUGAUUACUAACUGCUAGCUCAGAUUAGCAUGUCAUCCCCCGACAGUGGGCAGAAGCUGCCAAAGGAGAACCCUGAGAAAGGCACCAUGUCUGAGGGGCAGGAGAGAGGUGCCACUUUGUGUCCACAGGUGCUGGAGCCCACGUGCCUCUGCCAGCCCUCUACUAGAACUUGGUGUGCAAUUUGACUACCCAAAAAGAAAGGAGGAAGAGGAACCCACAGCAAACCUCACAUAACCCCAAAAGGGGAUUUCAGAUUUCAACCCGUGCCUUUCAUCCACAGCAGGGCGGACUUGCCACUGUGCUGCUUGGCAAACACUUCUCCCGUUUCCUCCCCGGAGCACUCUCUGCUGUGAGGACCAGGCAAGUCCUCCAGCUUGUCUGCCUGCCUCUCCAGCUGGAGUUAGGGCCUGGCCUGAGGGGCAUGAAGGGGUGGAAGCGAGUCCAGGUUGACUUUGAAAGGAUGAAAGCAAGGUCUGGAGAGGACAGGGGUGGGCCCUUGACUCUCAGUGUGGGUCUCUCUGCACCAUGCCACUCUGCCCUCUUCCAGAAGAGCUGGGAGUCAAGGGAGAGGGGGCCAGAACCUCCGUCUGACCAGCACAGAAGGGAUUGUGAGAUUAAAGGACUGCUGCCAAGACGAGGGGUCUGAAUGAGUCACUUACUGAGCACCCACCAGGAAUGGCCAAUGAAUGGACCAGGGAGGAUUUCUGCACUCCUUCCCAGAGCCCUGUCUGCGGCUUUGAAGACUCCUUCCUCACAUUCUAUGCAGCAAGAAAACAAGCAGGCAUCCCACCCCCACCACCGGGAUUCCUGGGAGAAGUGGGCUGUUGUAAGCCAGACUCCCCCUGGGAAUCUGCAGGCAUGCGGCAGCUGGUAGCUGCAGCAUGUAGCCUACUCCAACCCCACAGUUACCUCAGGAAGAAAAGCAGGUCUCACCUUUUAUUGAGCACCAUGUUCCCGAGCUUCAGGUCUCUGUGCACAAUGUUUUUCUGGAAGACAACAAAAUGGUUUGCACCAUGAAGGUGAGUGAGGGCUCGGGGCGGCCCAGCCUGCAAGGUGUUUGGGAAGGUGGGAUAAAAACUCUGUGACAUGCCUUUUAAGGCUCUGCCUUGAUUUGUAAGCCCCAGACAGACCAGGACCAUUCUAAGACCUCAUUAGCCAUGUGUAGGGAUGGGGUAAUAGGUGAGCUCAGGCAAUCUCUGCCCCACCCAGGGCGGGUUCCCAGCCUUCUCCCCUCAGGGCAGAAGCCAGUGGGAAAACCCAGUCCUUUCUCCACCUCUAUCAAACUUCUUAUUGAAAACUAAGCAUCUGCCUGGAGCCGGAAUCAGAGAUGAACUCUCCUGACUCUGGAGACCAAGUCUGCAGGCUUGGCCCACAGACGCUGUGAGUCUGCAAGAGGCUCUCCUAACCUGGGCAUUGGGGUACUUGACACCUCCAAUCCUAGGAAAAGCUCAGAGGUAGGCUGUGGCCCCGGUGGAUAUCUCACAGUCAGCACCCAAGAUGGGAGGCUCAUGUUUAGCUCCUUGCGUGAGAGGGAUCCCUGCUCUGGGCUCUGCUCCGUGCCCAUUGCGGCACCUCCCACCCCAGGAUGGUGGGCUGAUGCCUGCGGCACUGUGCCUCCCCAGGCAUACAUGUCAUCUGGCCACUUUCCUUCUGCACACUCCCAGCUGUUCCAGCUGCAAGCACACCUGGGUGAGGGCGGGACAGAGGGUGGCUUUCUAUGGCUUGUGGGGCCCAGGAUGCUGUCAGGCCAGAGGGGAGGUUGCAGAGGGGCAGCCUCACCUGGUG